rnacentral:rRNA from 1 species
GAUGAACGCUGGCGGCGUGCCUAAUACAUGCAAGUCGAGCGAACAGACGAGGAGCUUGCUCCUCUGACGUUAGCGGCGGACGGGUGAGUAACACGUGGAUAACCUACCUAUAAGACUGGGAUAACUUCGGGAAACCGGAGCUAAUACCGGAUAAUAUAUUGAACCGCAUGGUUCAAUAGUGAAAGACGGUUUUGCUGUCACUUAUAGAUGGAUCCGCGCCGCAUUAGCUAGUUGGUAAGGUAACGGCUUACCAAGGCAACGAUGCGUAGCCGACCUGAGAGGGUGAUCGGCCACACGGGAACUAAGACACGGUCCAGACUCCUACGGGAGGCAGCGGUAGGGAAUCUUCCGCAAUGGGCGAAAGCCUGACGGAGCAACGCCGCGUGAGUGAUGAAGAUCUUCGGAUCGUAAAACUCUGUUAUUGGGGAAGAACAAAUGUGUAAGUAACUAUGCACGUCUUGACGGUACCUGAUCAGAAAGCCACGGCUAACUACGUG